rnacentral:rRNA from 1 species
UACGUAGGGGGCAAGCGUUGUCCGGAAUCAUUGGGCGUAAAGAGCGUGUAGGCGGCUCGGUAAGUCCGCUGUGAAAGUUCAGGGCUCAACCCUGGAAUGCCGGUGGAAACUGUCGAGCUAGAGUCCGGAAGAGGCGAGUGGAAUUCCUGGUGUAGCGGUGAAAUGCGCAGAUAUCAGGAGGAACACCAAUGGCGAAGGCAGCUCGCUGGGAAGGUACUGACGCUGAGACGCGAAAGCGUGGGGAGCAAACAGG